rnacentral:misc_RNA from 1 species
GCAAACUUGGUCAUUUAGAGGAAGUAAAAGUCGUAACAAGGUCUCCGUUGGUGAACCAGCGGAGGGAUCAUUACAGAGUUUCUAAAACUCCCUGUAAACCCUUGUGAACCUACCUGUACGUCGUUGCUUCGGCGGGUAGCCCCGUGUAGGGGCCCUCGCCUCCUUUAUUGGAGGUGCCCGCCGGAGGACCACAACCUUAAACUCUUGAAUUUCAAUGGAAUCUCUGAGUAACAUACCAAAAUAAGUUAAAACUUUCAACAACGGAUCUCUUGGUUCUGGCAUCGAUGAAGAACGCAGC